UACGUAGGGGGCUAGCGUUGUCCGGAUUUAUUGGGCGUAAAGAGCGUGUAGGCGGCCAGGUAGGUCUGGUGUGAAAACUCGAGGCUUAACCUCGAGAUGUCAUCGGAAACCAUCUGGCUAGAGUCCGGAAGAGGAGAGUGGAAUUCCUGGUGUAGCGGUGAAAUGCGCAGAUAUCAGGAGGAACACCUGUGGCGAAAGCGGCUCUCUGGACCACAACUGACGCUGAGGCGCGAAAGCUAGGGGAGCAAACGGG
rnacentral:rRNA from 1 species